UACGGGGGGGGCAAGCGUUGUUCGGAAUUACUGGGCGUAAAGGGCUCGUAGGUGGCCAACUAAGUCAGACGUGAAAUCCCUCGGCUUAACCGGGGAACUGCGUCUGAUACUGGAUGGCUUGAGUUCGGGAGAGGGAUGCGGAAUUCCAGGUGUAGCGGUGAAAUGCGUAGAUAUCAGGAGGAACACCGGUGGCGAAAGCGGCUCACUGGCCCGAAUCUGACACUGAGGUGCGAAAGCUAGGGUAGCAAACGGG
rnacentral:rRNA from 1 species